CAUGGGUUGUUGUCGUAACUGAAUCGCGCGUAUCCCAGGGGAUUCGACGUCUCUUCUCCCAAUCCAAUUCGUCCCCCUUCAUAGUAUAUAUAUGCGACCUCAAUCCUUCCCCUCAUGCCAUCGAAGUUUAGUCACCUCACGGGUCGCCACCACCAUCGCCGAUGAGAGGGAGGGAACGAGAGAUCUCUGCCGCAUGCGGAUACUUCGAUUCACUAUCGCCGAGCUGUCGGAGCCUGGCCGAGGAGGUUCACCGGUGGGCAACGAAAGCUUUUGUGGCACGAUUGGGCGUGAAGGACGAUCGUGGCAAGUGGAAUUCCUCAUCGACGACUGGGAAUCGCCAUCGUCCACAGCCAACCAUGGAUGGGAGUCCAUGUUGCAAGGAUACUGGUAAGGAUAUAUUCAAUCGUUUCACGAUCGUCUACACAUUUAUUCGUACCUAGUUAUGAUAGAGACCAGGUACCAAGGCACUGACUGGCCAUUCGUCGGCAUCAGCACCGUCGCGAGCCGUGCAGAUGCCGCUCGGGUGCAUCGUCGGGGAAGGAAGAAGCAAGCAUGUCCGUUAGAUCGAGAACGAACGACCGAAGUUUGAUCUAAUGCAUAGCUGGUUGAUCAUUUAAAUCCGAGACGAAGAUUUUGAGGCGGACGACUGAGAAUCGAUUGGAGGCGUACUGCUUCGCUGAUCUGAUCUAGGUCGUCUGAUCGUGAUCGGAAGGCCUAGGUUGCACACCGGUUUAUAAAAUGUUAGGUCUAAUCUCGACCCUCGAAAUCAGAUUGUGUGUGUCGGCGUUUCGACCCCGGGGGAUCCCUGAACCGACGAGUAAAUUGUCGCUGCGUGUCCCAGCCCAGAUGGGUCGGCGCGAGACGAAACACAAGGGGGGAAAACAGUAAGGGGAAACCGCGACCUUGUGUUGUCCUGCGCCCAGGGCGGAUGCGCUUGCAGUAGGGGGUUACAAGCGUUCGCGAGGGAGAGAGAGAGCGAGAGCCUCGUGCGUCGGCUCGUUCUCCCGCGUGGCCACCUUCUCGUGUGAGGGCCCUGGACCUUCCUUUUAUAGAUGUAAGGAGAGGGUACAGGUGUACAACGGGGAGCAUAGCAAUGUGCUAACGUGUCUAGCGGAGAGGAGCCAGAGCCCUUUGUACAUGCCGACGUGGCUGUUGGAGAGGUGUUGCUGCCCUGUUCAUGUGGUGUCGUGGCCGUCGGAGGAGUGCUUGAGCCCUAUGGAAGCAUAGCUGUCGGGGCUGUCGGAUCCUUGCUGACGUCUCCUUGCUUCCGUAAGGGGCUGAGAACCGCCGUCGUCAUGUAGCACGCGGGGUGCCAUCAUUACUUGUUUUACCGGGGCGAGCCAGAUGGGACGCCGGUCUUGUUCCCCAUAGCCUAAGCUAGCUAGGGGUAGGGUAAUGAUGGCCCCCCUGUGUCGUGGUUGGUCCAAGCCCGAGGUUGGGCGAGGCGGUGACUCCUCCUAAGUCGAGGCUGAGUCCGAGCCCUGGGGUCGGGCGAGGCGGAGACCGUCUUCCGGAGUCGAGGCUGAAUCCGAGCCCUGGGAUCAGGCGAGGCGGAGACCGUCUUCCGGAGUCGAGGCUGAGUCCGAGCCCUGGGGUCGGGCGAGGCGGAGACCGUCUUCCGAGGUCGAGGCUGAGUACAAGCCCUGGGGUCGGGCGAGGCGGAGUCUGUCUUCCGAGGUCGAGGCUGAGUCCGAGCUCUGGGGUCGGGCGAGGCGGAGACCGUCUUCCGAGGCCGAGAUGGGGGUCGAGCCCUGGGGUCGGGCGAGGCGGAGCUUCCUAUGGCGCCCGAGGUUGGACUUAGCUGCUGUCGGCCUCACUCUGGCGAGUGGCACAGCAGUCGAAGCAGGGCAGGCGGCGCUGUUUUCCUGUCAGGUCAGUCAGUGGAGCGGCGAAGUGACUGCGGUCACUGCGGCCUUGUUGACUGAGGAGCGUGCGUCAGGAUAAGGUGUCAGGCGAUCCUUGCAUUGAUUGCUCCUGCGAUACGGUGGGUUGGCAUGGCGAUCUGGCCAAGGUUGCUUCUCCGCGAAGCCUGCCCGAGCUGGGCCUCGGGCGAGUCAAAGGUGUGCCCGUUGCUUGAGGAGACCCUCGGGCGAGGCGUGAAUCUGCCUUGGUCUACUGUUCCUGCCCGAGGCUGGGCUCGGGCGAGACGAGAUCGUGUCCCUUGAGUGGACGGAGCCUUGACCGGAAUCGCGCCCAUCAGGCCUUUGUAGCUUUGUGCUGAUGGGGGUUACCAGCUGAGAUUAGGAGUCUUGGGGGUACCCCUAAUUAUGGUCCCCGACAGUAGCCCCCGAGCCUCGAAGGGAGUGUUAGUACUCGCUUGGAGGCUUUUGUCGCACUUUUUUGCAAGGGGACCGGCCUUUCUCGGUUGCAUUUCGUUCCGGUGGGUGCGCGCGAGUGCACCCGCCGGGUGUAGCCCCCGAGGCCUCGGAGGAGUGGUUUGACUCCUUUGAGGUCUUAAUGCCUUUCGUGAUGCCUCGGCCGGUCUGGUUGUUCCCUCAUGCGAACUGGUCGUUGCCCGGGUGCAUAGUCAGGUUCCAAGUUCUCGGGCUGGUAUGUUCACGCUGUCAACGGUUUGGCCGGAGCCGGGUUUGCGAGAGCAGCCCCCGAGCCUCUGCACAGAGCGAGAGGACGGUCAAGGACUGACUCAGCUUUUAUCAUACGCCCCUUCGUCGCCUUUCCGCAAGAGGAGGGGGGAGAGUGCCAUGUUGCCCUCGGAGGGCGCCGAACAUGGUGUCUCCAGUGAGUUGCUAACGGGUGAUCCGAGUGGACGCCUGUGCCCCGUUCGAUAAGGGUCGGCUAGUGGCCCAGAGGCGCGCUCCAAAAGUACCUGCAGGUAAUUUGCCAGACCCGGUCCCGUUUGAUAGGGUCCGAGGGCUCGAUGCCUCCCUCUGAUGGGAUUCCGUUACAGAAUCGCUCAUGCUGGUCUCGGAAAUGUCCUAGGGUACCUCGGGAGCAUAGCGCGAGCCUCGGCCAUGUAUUGGACGUACCCAGAGUCAUCCCUCGCUCUGCGUGCUCUGAGGCGGCUGUCGAACCCUUCGGGGGCCAGCCUACGAACCCCUGAUCAGUAGUGGGCGCGGAGCCCGAGUGUCCUGAGGCGGCUGUCGAACUCUUCCGAGGGGCCAGCCUUCGGACCCCUGACCAGUAGUGAGCGCGGAGCCCGAGUGCUCUGAGGCGGCUGUCGAACCCUUCCGAGGGGCCAGCCUUCGAACCUCUGAUCAGUAGGGGGGCUCGAGGCCCGCUUCCUUCACGGAGAAGGAUCCCUUUCAUAGUAUCCCCUUUCCCGGUCCCUGUAGCAAGAGAGAGAAAGGGGAAGAGGAAAAGGAUACGAAAUUGAACGACGUGGCGUACCUUUUUUGACGCGGUCAUCAUGGCGGAGGUGAAGCGUCGCCUGCUUCGCCUGCCAAAGGUGUCGCAUGUCCUGCCACAGAGUUAAUGCGACAGGACGAGUGGUUCGCGGGGCAGCCGUUGUGCAUGCGCGAACCAUUCGAGGAACGGGCGUUUCGCCUUCGAGUUUUGAAUUUCACGGCGGGUUCAGGCGAAAUGUUGAAUGGGUCUCGCCCGGGCCUUUAUAUAUUCGGAAGAGGGACCGGUGGUGGUUCUUUACUCUGCUGCUCGCCUCCCGCUUAGGUUUCCGCGACCUGAGGGAAUAGCCAGAGAAAGAAAACCGCACACCUUGUCUGCUCUGCCACCACCUCCUUUGCUUGGUGAUGGCCGAAUGGGUAACCGUCGUUCCGCCGCGCGACCCGUGGCCUUUCUCCACCGUCACGGUGGACGAUCUAGAGGCCCUUGUUGCCGAUGGUUUGCUUUGUCCCCUCUUCGGUGACCCGUAGCCGGAGUGGAUGGCCCCUCCGAGCGGAGCCGCCCCGUCCCCGCCGUCGGGGUAUGUGCUGAGUUUCGUCUCUUUCCAUGAGCGGGGGUUCGGAGUGCCAGCAAGUCGCUUCAUGUGGGCGAUUCUGCAUUUCUACGGGGUGGAGCUGCACAAUCUCAGCCCCAACUCCAUCGCGCAAGCAGCCAUCUUCGCGGCGGUUUGCGAAGGGUUUUUGGGGAUUGACCCCCACUGGGAUCUGUGGACCCAUCUCUUCUCCGUGGAGCCUUUUGCCUUGACGACGGGAGAAAGGAGAGUUCGCAUGGCGGUGCGGGUCGGCGGCUGCAUCCUCUAGUUGAGGCAGGCGCGUGCGCAACAGUACAUCCACGCCAUCCUUGUGUCUUCGAACAAGGGGUGGCAGCGCUGGUGGUUUUACCUUCGGAACGACGAUGGGAGGCUCCCGUCGUUUUCUCAACGAGUGGUGACCGCCGCCAGCAGCAACUGGCGCUAUGGGGCCCCGCGCGACAGACAGAAGAAUCUCCAGCCUCUUCUGGAGGCCUUGCAGGAGUUGCGAGAUGGAGGGCUUACCGCCACGGGGGUGGUCGCCGCCAUCCAUCGCCGGAGGGUGCUCCCCUUGACGGAGCGGCGGCUGCUGCUUUCGGAGAUGACGCUGGGGGUCGGCUUGGAGGGUUCACAGAUGUCCUCGGUCCCCCUCCCCACCGAUGACCUCCACAAGCGGGUAGCCGGCACGGUAGGAAAGCUGGAUGCCGGUGCUCUUACCCAGCCCUCGAUGCGUCCCGAGCGCGGGUGCAUAUCCCUGGUGAGUGUCCGCUCCUUCUUCCUUCUUGUGUCAGAUUGCCCUUGGUUCUCACAGCCGAGAUUUCCGUCCGUCUCCAAGAGUUGGGGUUUCAUAAACCUUUUCUGCCACCGGUCCCGGAGGACGCGGUGGACCGAGCCGCGCAGAGGGUUGCUGCGAAAAAGAAGAAGGAGAAGAAGGACGCAAAAAAGGCUCGGGCCCGCGAGCGGAUGCGGGCUUGGGACGCCUUGGAGAGGCGUCGUCGGAAGUAGGAGAGGGACGGGCUCCCGAGGGAGCCGUUGCCGGAGACGCCUGACGACGACGACGACGAUGACGAUGACGACGAGGACGACGACAUGGCGGCCCGCCUCGGCCUUAGCCCAGAUCUGCGGCUAGGCCCGGGGUCGUCGAGCCAGCCCCCGAGUGGGCUGGCGCCGUCAUUAUCCAGGGCGGAGGCAUCAGGGUCCCGGUCCGAAGAACAGGGGCAGACCAAGGGGGCACUUGACCCCUUGGCCAAGGUGGUUGAGGUGACCCCGGGGAGUUAGGCCGACCCGCCUGUCCCUGAAGAGCCGUUGCUCGUGCCGGCAGCACAGGAGGCUGAUCCUCAGGUCGCCGUGUCUGCGCCUGGGCGGACCGUCCCUUCGGCGCCCCGGGCGCCCGAGGCAGGGAUGGUGCCGAAGCCGGCAGCGGGGCAAACCUUGGUGGUGCCCACGGGGACCGAGGCUCGGGGGGCCUCCCCGCAGGCACGAUUGGUCGUGGCCCAGAGUGGGUGAGUAUCUGAGGAUACCUCUGUCCCGGUUCCUUCUUCGUAUGUCCUGAUCCUGCCUUUCCUUUUUCCUCCUAGCAAAUGGAGGCACGGCUCGACCGGUCUGGCUCCCCGGAAGGUCCUCAAGACGGCGUCGGCUUCCGCAGCCAGUGCCGCAUCGGGCCUCGCCGACCGGCUGACCUCCUCACAAGAUGCCCCAAAGCGGGGGGCUCAGGCGGUGCGAGUCGCCGUAGGGCGGGCUCCUCAGGUUGACCCCUCUUCUGAGGCGGCCGUCGUGCCGGGGGAGACUACUGGUGCGGCCGCGGCCUUCACACCACCCGACGUGUUGCCGACGCCGGCACCAGCCUCGGCCGAGGCUAUUGCCGUUCUGCCCGUGGGGCCAUCCGUCGCCGCUGAUGCUGAGAUGGCUGAGGCGUUGCUACCCGAGGCUGGUGAUCGGAGGCCUGCCCCCUUAGUCGAGGAGGUACUUGAUGUGCCAACCGCAGGGGGUGCCGACGCCUUGGAGGAGGGGGCACAGAACCACGGCCCGUCCUGGGGAGCGGUGACCUCAUCCUCGUGUGGCGAGGUCCCAAUGAAUGGCGUGGGGAGAGGCUCCGGUUCUGGACCCGUGGUGCCUCGAAACCCCUCUUUGUUCUUGACGAUGAGUGAGAGGAGCAGGCUUGGGACGAGCUUCGUGAGUGUGCCGAGGCAACGGUGGGGUCGCUUCGGUCGAUCUUGGAGGUCCUUUCUAGGGACGUUCCCAGGAUCCUCCAGGUAAGGAUUCCAGGCAUACCUUUCAUGUGAUCAAGGCAUUCUUUGUGACGCCCUGCUUCCCUUCCUCAGGAUCUGAGCACCGCCAAGUCGUCGUUUAUCCGCCGCGAGGCCGACGUCUGGGGUUCGCUGCGGUUCCUGAGGACCACGCUUGCCGAGGCCACUGAGCGCCUCUCCCAACGGAGCGCCGAGGCGACGGACCUUCGGUUGCUCUGUGACGAGCUAGGGGCAGAGGCAGCGGCGGCGCGCGUAGAGGCGCAGCGGCGGCAGUUGGAGCUUGGCCAGGUCAUCGGUGAGCGGGACCGAUCUCGGGGCCGGGCCGCCGAGGCUGAAAGCCGUGCUGAGGCCCUUGGAGGCCAGCUAGCUGAGGCGUCUGCUUGGGCCGGAGCCCUUGCGGUGGACCUGGCCGUGGCCGUUGGGUCUGCUCAGUCCACCCAAGCCGCAGCCUCGGAGCAGCGUGCCCGGGCCGAAGGUAUGUCUUGGCUGUUUUGAGAUUUUGAUUCAGCUUCAUUCUUCAACUCGUGUUUGAAGACUUUGCUUUGGUUGUUUGCAGAGCUUGAGUCUGCCCUCAACGAGUCCGCCAAGGCACUUGCCCAGGCGGCUGAGCAGAAGGAGGCCGACCGCGUGUGUAAUGCCCGAAUUUCGAGUUGAAUUUUUUCUUUUCUCUAUCGCUCGCUAAAUUCGGGUGUUACCCCUCCUUCCCAUUUCUUUUCGCUAAAACCUCACCCGUCUUCAAAACUUUAAGUCAUGUGAUAAUGGUAAACCCUAGAGUUAAUUUCUUUGAUUUGCUGCACCAUGCCAAACCAUGCAUUUUUUGAUUGUUGAAAAUGUGAAAAAGGGAAAAUAGAUAUCAAAAAAGGGAAAAUCUUUUCUUUUCUCUCCCCUCCAUCUCCUCCCCUUUUUGGCCCAUCCGCCCCCCUGGGCGCGUGGCCCAGCUGGCCGGCCGGCCCAACCGACCACGCCCCCUCUCCCUUCCCCCCCCCCCUUCGCGUCGUGGGCCGGCGGUGUGGUGUACUGUUUGUUUCCUAAUUUUUUCUAUUCUAUGCAUGUUUAAUCUACUUGUUCUCAUGUAUGGUGUACUGUUUGUUUCCUAAUUUGAAUGGAUGGAUGUAUGUAUGUCUGCACUUGCAUAGAGAACGAUCCGGUUGAAGAGCCCGAAGAACUCGCAGGAGAAGCCCCUGAGCAGCAGUCGGUUGGUG
rnacentral:lncRNA from 1 species